rnacentral:rRNA from 1 species
UACAGAGGGGGCAAGCGUUGUUCGGAAUUACUGGGCGUAAAGGGCGCGUAGGCGGCCUUCUAAGUCGAACGUGAAAUCCCCGGGCUCAACCCGGGAACUGCGUCCGAUACUGUAAGGCUUGAAUCCGGGAGAGGGAUGUGGAAUUCCAGGUGUAGCGGUGAAAUGCGUAGAUAUCUGGAAGAACACCGGUGGCGAAGGCGGCCUUCUGGACGAUGACUGACGCUGAGACGCGAAAGCGUGGGGAGCAAACAGG